AAAGGCCAGGCUGAAGACCUUGCUAGACUAGCUGAGAGGAGGUGCAUGGCCGUCGUCAGUUCGUACUGUGAAGCAUCCUGUUAAGUCAGGCAACGAGCGAGACCCGCGCCCAUAGUUGCCAGCAAUCCCUCUGGGGGAGAUGGGUACACUAUGGGGGACCGCCUCUGCUAAAGAGGAGGAAGGAACGGGCAACGGUAGGUCAGCAUGCCCCGAAUCUCCCGGGCUACACGCGGGCUACAAUGAUCGGGACAAUGGGAAUCGACACCGAGAGGUGAAGGUAAUCUCCUAAACCCGAUCGUAGUUCGGAUUGGGGGCUGAAACUCGCCCCCAUGAAGAUGGAAUCCGUAGUAAUCGCGUCUCAAAAUGGCGCGGUGAAUAUGUCCCUGCUCCUU
rnacentral:rRNA from 1 species